UGCCAGCCGCCGCGGUAAUACGUAGGGAGCGAGCGUUAUCCGGAAUUAUUGGGCGUAAAGCGUGUGUAGGCGGUUUACUAAGUCUGAUGUGAAAGCCCCCAGCUUAACUGGGGAGGGUCAUUGGAAACUGGUAGACUUGAGUACGGUAGAGGCAAGUGGAAUUCCAUGUGUAGCGGUAAAAUGCGUAGAUAUAUGGAGGAACACCAGUGGCGAAGGCGGCUUGCUGGGCCGGAACUGACGCUGAGAUGCGAAAGCCAGGGGAGCGAAUGGGAUUAGAUA
rnacentral:rRNA from 1 species